GCGGCGAAAGCGGCAUAUUUGAAAAUAGUUUUGAUGCACAUUGCUGGAAAAUCAAAACAUUAUAUCCGCGGCCAGGUUAGAAGUUCGCUGAAUGAUGGAGUCUGAGCCAGAGGAGGCGGGGCACUCCCACACUGGCCCAUUGUCACGUGGCCCCUUCAGCUCGAGGAAGAGCCUUGGACGAUGUCUGACGCUGCAGGCGCAGCGGGUGCCGGUCAGCUCGAUCCAGGACGGCCAGAGCGACGACGAGGACGAGCCGGACGAG